rnacentral:tRNA from 1 species
CACUAAGAAGCUAUGCAGCAGCACUAGCCUUUUAAGCUAGAGAAAGAGGACCACCCGCUCCUCCUUAGUGA